rnacentral:rRNA from 1 species
GAGUUUGAUCAUGGCUCAGAACGAACGUUAGCGGCGCGCCUAACACAUGCAAGUCGAGCGAGAAGGGAGCAAUCCCAGUAAAGCGGCGCACGGGUGAGUAACACGUAGGUAAUCUGCCUCGAGGUAGUGGAUAACCUUCCGAAAGGAGGGCUAAUACAGCAUGAGACCACGUUUUCGAAAGAGAAUGAGGUCAAAGCGGGCCACUAUACAUAAGCUCGCGCCUUGAGAUGAGCCUGCGGCCCAUCAUGGUAGUUGGUAGGGUAACGGCCUACCAAGCCGAAGACGGGUAGCUGGUCUGAGAGGAUGAUCAGCCACACUGGAACUGAGACACGGUCCAGACUCCUACGGGAGGCAGCAGUGGGGAAUCUUGCGCAAUGGGCGAAAGCCUGACGCAGCGACGCCGCGUGAGUGAUGAAGGCC